rnacentral:rRNA from 1 species
AGCGAACGCUGGCGGCAGGCCUAACACAUGCAAGUCGAACGAACACUUCGGUGCUAGUGGCGGACGGGUGAGUAACACGUGGGAACGUGCCUUUUGGUUCGGAAUAACUCAGGGAAACUUGUGCUAAUACCGAAUGUGCCCUUCGGGGGAAAGAUUUAUCGCCAUUGGAGCGGCCCGCGUCUGAUUAGAUAGUUGGUGAGGUAACGGCACACCAAGGCGACGAUCAGGAGCUGGUCUGAGAGGAUGACCAGCCACACUGGGACUGAGACACGGCCCAGACUCCGACGGGAGGCAGCAGUGGGGAAUCUUACGCAAUGGGCGAAAGCCUGACGCAGCCAUGCCGCGUGAAUGAUGAAGGGCUUAGGAUUGUAAAAUUCUUUCAGCGGGGACGAUAAUGACGGUACCCGGAGAAGAAGCCCCGGCUAACUUCGUG